GAACGCUAGCGGCAGGCCUAACACAUGCAAGUCGAGGGGUAUAAGGAGCUUGCUCCUUUGAGACCGGCGCACGGGUGCGUAACGCGUAUGCAAUCUGCCUUGUACAAGGGGAUAGCCCCGGAGAAAUCCGGAUUAAUACCCUAUGGUAUAUUGAUGUGGCAUCACAUUAUUAUUAAAGAUUUAUCGGUACAAGAUGAGCAUGCGUCCCAUUAGCUAGUUGGUAUGGUAACGGCAUACCAAGGCUAUGAUGGGUAGGGGUCCUGAGAGGGAGAUCCCCCACACUGGUACUGAGACACGGACCAGACUCCUACGGGAGGCAGCAGUGAGGAAUAUUGGUCAAUGGCCGGAAGGCUGAACCAGCCAAGUAGCGUGAAGGAUGAAGGUUCUAUGGAUUGUAAACUUCUUUUAUGAGGGAAUAAAACCUCCCACGUGUGGGAGCUUGUAUGUACCUUAUGAAUAAGCAUCGGCUAACUCCGUG
rnacentral:rRNA from 1 species